GACGAACGCUGGCGGCGUGCUUAACACAUGCAAGUCGAACGAAGAGCUACGGAUGCUUGCUUCUAUCAAACUUAGUGGCGAACGGGUGAGUAACGCGUAAUCAACCUGCCCUUUAGAGGGGGACAACAGUUGGAAACGAUUGCUAAUACCGCAUACGAUCAAUUCCUGGCUUGGUGGUGAUUUAAAGGUUGUUUUGCACACAUAAGGAGUUAGCUUUGGGGUGGAUUAGCUAGGUGGUGGGGUAAAGGGCUACCAAGGCGAUGAUGAGUAGCCGGCCUGAGAGGAGGAACGGCCACAUUGGGACUGAGACACGGCCCAGACUCCUACGGGAGGCAGCAGUGGGGAAUCUUCCGCAAUGGACGAAAGGCUGACGGAGCAACGCCGCGUGAGGGAUGACGGCCUUCGGGUUGUAAAGCUCUGUUAAUCGGGACGAAAGGCCUUCUUGCGAAUAGUGAGAAGGAUUGACGGUACCGGAAUAGAAAGCCACGGCUAACUACGUG
rnacentral:rRNA from 1 species